rnacentral:rRNA from 1 species
UGGGGAAUUUUGGACAAUGGGCGAAAGCCUGAUCCAGCCAUGCCGCGUGAGUGAAGAAGGCCUUCGGGUUGUAAAGCUCUUUCAGGUGGAAAGAAAACGCAUAGGUGAAGACCUUGUGCGGAUGACGGGACCAUCAGAAGAAGCACCGGCUAACUACGUGCCAGCAGCCGCGGUAAUACGUAGGUGGCGAGCGUUGACCGGAAUUACUGGGCGUAAAGCGUGCGUAGGCGGUUAUAUAAGACAGAUGUGAAAUCCCCGGGCUCAACCUGGGGAUUGCAUUUGAGACUGUAGAGCUAGAGUGCCGCAGAGGAGGGUGGAAUUCCGCGUGUAGCAGUGAAAUGCGUAGAUAUGCGGAGGAACACCAGUGGCGAAGGCGAUCCCCUGGGCCUGUACUGACGCUGAUGCACGAAAGCGUGGGGAGCAAACA